rnacentral:rRNA from 1 species
AUGACGAGCUCUGCCCCAACGAGCUUCCCCAAGAGGAAGCUGGGGGUGACGCCCGCGGGGUCCUUUGACGGGCCGCUUGAGGCUGACCUCCACAGCACGCAGGAAUUGGAGCAGCUUUUGGCCGAGCUGGGUUUGUACAAGAGCAAGGAGGAGACCGCUAGGCAAGAAGAGGUGUUGAGGAAGCUUGACAAGAUUGUGAAAGAGUGGGUGAAGGAGUUGGCUAUUCAGAGAGGCCAAGUCAACACAAAUGUCGGGCUUUUCACCUUCGGGUCAUACCAUCUAGGGGUAAUGUUGAUGAACCUGGGGCUGACAUCGAUACUUUAUGUGUUGGACCAAAUAGUGCCAUCGGAUCUGGAUAUCUCUCAAAAUUCAGUGCUUUCUGGAGUUGAUGAAGUCAACCUUCGCAGUCUUAGCGAGUGCAGAGUGGCAGACCAAAUUCUUGAUCUUGUUCCAAAUAUCGAGAACUUCCGGACAACGUUAAGGUGUGUGAAGCACUGGGCGAAAAGAAGAGGUGUUUGCGUUAACUGGUACUGGCCGAACCCAGUGAUGCUCUGUUCCAUUCAUGAAGAUCGGGAACUUGGUUUUCCCGUGUGGAAUGCACGCUUCAAUCGUGAAGACCGGACGCAUAUCAUGCCCAUCAUUACCCCGGCGUACCCGUGCAGAAACUCGACCGUGCACGUUUCGGCAACCACGCUGGAGGUCAUGAAGGAGCAGUUCCAGAUUGGGAAUGAAGUCUGCCAGGAAAUCGAGAUGAAGCAGGCUGAUUGGGCUGACCUUUUUGAGCCGCUCGGUGAUCCCCCCAGCGACGAAACUGCCGUUUCGUGCUGA